rnacentral:lncRNA from 10 species
CUCAGACUCCUGGUCUCAGGUGAUCUGUCCGCCUCAGCCUCCCAAAGUGCUGGGAUUAUAGGCAUGAACCACAGCACCCGGCCAAUUUACCACCUUAAUUUUUUAGUGUACAAUUCAGUGAUAUUAAAUGUACAUUCAUAUUGUUGUGCACCUAAUGGGUGUGAGGUGGUAUCUCACUGUGGUUUUGGUUGCCAUUCCCCUAAUGAUUAGUGAUUCUAAGCAUCUUUUCUUGUGCUUAUUGGCAUUUGUAUAUCCCUUUCAGAGACAUGUCUAUUCAAGUUGUUUGGAUUGAACUGGGUUGUUUGGCC